rnacentral:lncRNA from 1 species
GGUGGGUCGGUGGUUGUUGGAAGUACGAUGUAGCCCCCUGUUACAUCGUGUUUGGAGUAUAAUUAAUCUUAAGGAAAAUGGUACAAAAAUCAAGUUGAAUUUUUCACCUGGUUGGACGACUGGUCAUAUAAACUGAUGUGUGAAGGGAUGUCGGGCAUCAUAAAUUAUUAGCGUAACUCCCAUUCAAGGCUGUUCCAGCGAACAAACAGUAACUGAAAACUGUAGAUGGAUGACCAAGCAACCUCAGAUCUCAAGUUUCUGGAUAAUAAUAUUGGAAAACCAGUCUCAGACGAGAACAAGCACACCAGCAGCAAGCAUUUCAGAAUAUGUCUACCAGACACGCGAAUUGUUCACACGCUUAUAGGAUUAAUAAUUGGACAAUCUUGGGGAUGGCAUUCAAAAUGCCCUUCCAAAACCUGCAGUCAGAAGUCCCUUAGGUUUUCCUAAAUAAUGGCAGACGUUCGAAAAGAGUGGAGUUGGUUGAGGAAAGACGUUUGAAAACAGAUAACCGUUGUAAGCGCGGCCAGAAAUCGCCACAACCCAUUUAUUAUCUGUCACAUUGCGGUAUUUGUCAUACAUAAAUUGAAGUGCAUAUC